UACAGAGGGUGCGAGCGUUAAUCGGAAUUACUGGGCGUAAAGCGUGCGUAGACGGUUAUUUAAGUCGGGUGUGAAAGCCCCGGGCUCAACCUGGGAAUUGCAUUCGAGACUGAAUAGCUAGGGUACGGUAGAGGGAAGUGGAAUUUCCGGUGUAGCGGUGAAAUGCGUAGAUAUCGGAAGGAACAUCGGUGGCGAAGGCGGCGUCCUGGACCAACACUGACACUGAUGAGCGAAAGCCAGGGGAGCAAACGGG
rnacentral:rRNA from 1 species